rnacentral:rRNA from 1 species
GACGAACCGUGCGAACGUUAUUCGGAAUCACUGGGCUUAAAGCGCGUGUAGGCGGAUGGGACGUCGGUCGUUGAAAGCCCCCGGCUCAACCGGGAACUGGCACCGAAACGCCCCGUCUCGAGGGACGUAGGGGACCUGGAACUUCCGGUGGAGCGGUGAAAUGCGUUGAGAUCGGAAGGAACGCCCGUGGCGAAAGCGAGGUCCUGGACGUCUACUGACGCUGAGACGCGAAAAGCUAGGGGUUAGCGAACCGGG